rnacentral:rRNA from 1 species
CACGUAGGGGGCGAGCGUUAUCCGGAAUCAUUGGGCGUAAAGGGUGCGUAGGCGGCCUUUUAAGCGCGGGGUCUAAGGCGGUGGCCCAACCACCGUUCGCCCCGCGAACUGGAGGGCUAGAGGGUCGGAGAGGGAAGCGGAAUUCCUAGUGUAGCGGUGAAAUGCGUAGAUAUUAGGAGGAACACCAGUGGCGAAGGCGGCUUCCUGGACGAAGACUGACGCUGAGGCACGAAAGCGUGGGGAGCGAACAGG